rnacentral:rRNA from 1 species
GGUUAAGUUAAUAAGGGCGCACGGUGGAUGCCUUGGCACUAGAAGCCGAAGAAGGACGUGACAAACGACGAAAUGCUUUGGGGAGCUGUAAGUAAGCGCUGAUCCAGAGAUGUCCGAAUGGGGAAACCUACUAACUAAUGGUUAGUAUCCAUAACUGUUAAGGUUAUGAGAAGGAAGACGCAGUGAACUGAAACAUCUAAGUAGCUGCAGGAAGAGAAAGCAAACGCGAUUGCCUUAGUAGCGGCGAGCGAAACGGCAGGAGGGCAAACCGAAGUGUUUACACUUCGGGGUUGUAGGACUGCGACGUGGGACUUUAAAAGGAUAGAAGAAUUACCUGGGAAGGUAAGCCAAAGAGAGUAAAAGCCUCGUAUUUAAAAUUCUUUUGAGCCCUAGCAGUAUCCUGAGUACGGCGAGACACGUGAAAUCUCGUUGGAAUCUGGGAGGACCAUCUCCCAACCCUAAAUACUCUCUAGUGACCGAUAGUGAACCAGUACCGUGAGGGAAAGGUGAAAAGCACCCCGGGAGGGGAGUGAAAUAGAACCUGAAACCGUGUGCCUACAACAAGUUCGAGCCCGUUAAUGGGUGAGAGCGUGCCUUUUGUAGAAUGAACCGGCGAGUUACGAUAUGAUGCGAGGUUAAGUUGAAGAGACGGAGCCGUAGGGAAACCGAGUCUUAAUAGGGCGAUUUAGUAUCAUGUUGUAGACCCGAAACCAUGUGACCUACCCAUGAGCAGGUUGAAGGUGAGGUAAAACUCACUGGAGGACCGAACCAGGGCACGUUGAAAAGUGCUUGGAUGACUUGUGGGUAGCGGAGAAAUUCCAAACGAACUUGGAGAUAGCUGGUUCUCUCCGAAAUAGCUUUAGGGCUAGCGUCGAUGUUAAGUCUCUUGGAGGUAGAGCACUGUUUGGGUGAGGGGUCCAUCUCGGAUUACCAAUCUCAGAUAAACUCCGAAUGCCAACGAGAUAUCAUCGGCAGUCAGACUGCGAGUGCUAAGAUCCGUAGUCGAAAGGGAAACAGCCCAGACCACCAGCUAAGGUCCCAAAAUAACUGUUAAGUGGAAAAGGAUGUGGGGUUGCACAGACAACUAGGAUGUUAGCUUAGAAGCAGCUAUUCAUUCAAAGAGUGCGUAAUAGCUCACUAGUCGAGUGACCCUGCGCCGAAAAUGUACCGGGGCUAAAACAGUUUACCGAAGCUGUGGAUGACACAAAAGUGUCAUGGUAGGAGAGCGUUCUAUGUGUGAAGAAGGUGUACCGUGAGGAGCGCUGGAACGCAUAGAAGUGAGAAUGCCGGUAUGAGUAGCGAAAGACAGGUGAGAAUCCUGUCCACCGUAAGACUAAGGUUUCCAGGGGAAGGCUCGUCCGCCCUGGGUUAGUCGGGACCUAAGGAGAGACCGAAAGGUGUAUCCGAUGGCCAACAGGUUGAUAUUCCUGUACUAGAGUAUAUAGUGAUGGAGGGACGCAGUAGGCUAACUAAACCGGACGAUUGGAAGAGUCCGGCUAAGCAGUGAGGUGUAAGAUGAGUCAAAUGCUUAUCUUUAUAACAUUGAGCUGUGAUGGGGAGCGAAUUUUAGUAGCGAAGUUAGUGAUGUCACACUGCCAAGAAAAGCUUCUAGCGUUUAAUGAUACUCUACCCGUACCGCAAACCGACACAGGUAGUCGAGGCGAGUAGCCUCAGGUGAUCGAGAGAACUCUCGUUAAGGAACUCGGCAAAAUGACCCCGUAACUUCGGGAGAAGGGGUGCUGACUUAGGUCAGCCGCAGUGAAUAGGCCCAAGCAACUGUUUAUCAAAAACACAGCUCUCUGCUAAAUCGUAAGAUGAUGUAUAGGGGGUGACGCCUGCCCGGUGCUGGAAGGUUAAGAGGAGGGUUUAGCGCAAGCGAAGAUCUGAAUUGAAGCCCCAGUAAACGGCGGCCGUAACUAUAACGG